GAUAAACGCUGGCGGCGCACAUAAGACAUGCAAGUCGAACGGACUUAAUCGAAAUAUUUAUAUUUUGAAGCGGUUAGUGGCGGACUGGUGAGUAACGCGUAAGGAACCUACCUAUUAGAGGGGAAUAACAGUGAGAAAUCAUUGCUAAUACCGCAUAUGCCAUAGAUAUCACAUGAUAACAGUGGGAAAGGAGCAAUCCGCUAAUAGAUGGCCUUGCGUCUGAUUAGAUAGUUGGUGGUGUAAUGGACCACCAAGGCGAUGAUCAGUAGCUGGUUUGAGAGGAUGAUCAGCCACAAUGGGACUGAGACACGGCCCAU
rnacentral:rRNA from 1 species